AGACCAUACACUACACCAACCUACCACAACAGAAAUUGAGGAAUUCCUUGCGAAGACGCAGCUCCCCACUCUAACAGCCGCACAAAAAAACACCAUACAGCUUCAGGUUAAUACACAGGAAAUAAUAGACACCAUCAAUUCCUUACCCCCUGGGAAAUCACCAGGCCCUGACGGCAUGACCAACGCUUACUACAGGCAAUUUGCGCCAGUUCUAGCCCCCUACCUCCAACGGGUAUACCACCAUACCAUAUCGACAGGACACCUGCCAAACGAAAUGUUAAUGGCUCAUGUAGCUACACUUCCUAAACCAGGGAAACCCCCGAAUAGAUGCCAGAAUCUCCGUCCCAUCUCCCUGUUAAAUACGGACAUAAAAAUCAUAGCAAAAAUCUUCUCCAAUAGAUUAGCACACAUCAUACCUUCCCUAAUACAGGAAGAUCAGGUGGGAUUUGUGGGGGGCAGACAGGGGGCUGACGGUACGAGGAAAACCCUAAACCUACUUUAUCAGAUACAACGGAACAAAAC